ensembl:lncRNA
GAGGGAUCCCACAGAGCCCCCCUCCCAGUGGUCAGGUCUUUGUGACAUCUCCUGCCCAGCAGUGUGAGUUGGACCUAGCAACACUCUUCUAACAGAGUACAGCAGAAGUGAUGGGAUGUCACUUCUGAGAUUGGGUUAGAAAGAGAUUCUGGCUUCAAUCUUGCUCACCAGCUCUUGUUCUCUCUUGCUUUCUCCCUUGCUUGCUCUGAGGGAAGUACUGCCAUGUUGUGAGCUGCCCUAUGGAUAGACCCAUGUGGCAGGAAACUGAUAACUCUGGCAAACAGCCAGCCAGGAUCUAACGCCUGCCAACAGCCGCAGGAGUAAGCUUGGAAGUGGGUCUUUUGACACCUGCCAACAGCCACAUGGGUGAGCUUGGAAGCAAAUUCUCCCCCACUUAAGCCUUGAGAGGACUGUAGCCCCAGCCAACACCUUGAUUGCAGUCUUAUUAGAGACCUUGAGCCAGAGGACCCAGCUAAGACAUCCUGCUGUAUUCAUAGGGUCUAAACCAAAUAAGGCAGAAUGUGAAGGAAAAAAAGCAGGUGGCUGAGAACAGAACCUGAGGAACAUGAAAAGCACUGGUGGAGGAAGAGGAGCCCAUAAAGGACACGACACAUAUCUGGAGAGGCACGAGGAGAAUCAGGAGCAUGCGACGUGGUGGAACUCGGGGAAAUUGUGGUCCACAGAGACUAAAACAGCAGAGAAGGGGAAUGCCAACAACUGAAGAAUGCCCAUUUGAUCAGAAAUCGAGGAACUGAGACAGCAGCAUAGACUACUUUGAAAAGCUUUGACAGGAAGAAGAGAAAGCGUAGAGAUGUGAGAUCAAGGGAAUGGUCCCGGUUUCGUUUUUAGGGUUGUUUUGGAUAUCUGCUGCUACAUACGAAACCACUCGAAAACUUACAACUUAAAGAUGUAUUAUCUUUCAGGAUUCUAUCAAUUAAUACAGUAGCUCUUCUGCUGGUCUCUCCUUUGGUCACUCUUGGGUGUAUAUUCAGCUGGUGGGGCAUCUGCUGGGGGGACACUAGGCUUCUCUCUCCAUGUGGUGUCAGAACCUUUCUCACAAAGUGGUCACUCAUGCUCCAGGGCCUCUGCCACAUGGCCAUUCUCUCCAGCAGGACAGUCUGGACUUCCUUGUGACAUGGCGGCUGGCUCCAAAAGGGAAUAAUCCAAGAGAGAUCAGCUCAGUGUGCAAGCACUUACCAAGCCUCUACCUGCGUCACACCUGCUAAGGACCUUUUAGCCAAAGCAAAUGACAUGGUCAAGUCUAGAGUCCACAUGGGAGGGGACUACACAAGGGUGUGAAUACUGGGAGAACCGAGAGGUGGAAUCUAUCCAUAUAAUAAUCCUAUAAGGAUGGGGUUUUUUCCCUUAAUAUGAUACAGACCUAAAAAUGUUUCUAGGCUGAGCCCAAAAUAACUAAUUGAAAGGGAGACACUGAAGAUACUAAUAGAGUCCCAGAGUCUCUACCCCAAUGCAACAUGGGGUAGAGACUUGGAAUUUGUGGUAACACCAACUCCACCAUCAUUUUGCUUCUCCGUCAACACUCAGUCUGCAUGUUGAAGCUGAGGAAGCUGAUAAGUUUUGAUCCAAGUGUAGAAUUUGGUCAUUGGGUGCUGCAGAAGGAGAGUGGUGCCAGGGAAUUGUGGGUUACUGGAGAGAGUAAACUGAAGAAGAGAAACAGGUUCUGACUCCAUAGGUAAGAAAGAGAGGCCAGGAGGGGACCGACAGAGGAAAGAGAGGAGUCAUGAAACUGGAGAUCUCUACAGGUUCAAAAUAGACUGAACUGUGAAUAAAGAUGUGAGGAAAGGAAGAGAAGUUGAAGCCCAAAGAGGUCCAAGA